GCGUCGAUACCCAAGUGGUCAAAGGGGGUGCGCUGUAGACGCAUUGACUUCGGUCUUCGUUGGUUCGAAUCCAACUCGGCGCA
rnacentral:tRNA from 1 species